rnacentral:rRNA from 1 species
AACGAACGCUGGCGGCAGGCUUAACACAUGCAAGUCGAACGAUAUAGUGGCAGACGGGUGAGUAACGCGUGGGAACAUGCCUAUCGGUAUGGAAUAGCUUCUGGAAACGGAAGGUAAUACCAUAUACGUCCUUAGGGAGAAAGAUUUAUCGCCGAUAGAUUGGCCCGCGUUAGAUUAGUUUGUUGGUGGGGUAACGGCCUACCAAGACUACGAUCUAUAGCUGGUCUGAGAGGAUGAUCAGCCACACUGGGACUGAGACACGGCCCAGACUCCUACGGGAGGCAGCAGUGGGGAAUCUUGCACAAUGGGCGAAAGCCUGAUGCAGCCAUGCCGCGUGAAUGAUGAAGGCCUUAGGGUUGUAAAAUUCUUUCGCUAGGGACGAUAAUGACGGUACCUAGUAAAGAAGCCCCGGCUAACUUCGUGCCAGCCGCCGCAGUAAAAC